rnacentral:rRNA from 1 species
CACGUAGGGUGCGAGCGUUGUCCGGAAUUAUUGGGCGUAAAGAGCUCGUAGGCGGUCCGUCACGUCGGAUGUGAAAUUCCAGGGCUCAACCCUGGACCUGCAUUCGAUACGGGCGGACUAGAGUUCGGUAGGGGAGACCGGAAUUCCUGGUGUAGCGGUGAAAUGCGCAGAUAUCAGGAGGAACACCGGUGGCGAAGGCGGCUCACUGGCCCAUAACUGACGCUGAGGCACGAAAGCGUGGGGAGCAAACAGG